CCAACAGGGAUUGCCCUAGUAACGGCGAGUGAAGCGGCAACAGCUCAAAUUUGAAAUCUGGCGCAAGCCCGAGUUGUAAUUUGUAGAGGAUGCUUCUAGGUAGCGACCGGUCUAAGUUCCUUGGAACAGGACGUCAUAGAGGGUGAGAAUCCCGUAUGUGACCGGCCCGCACCUUCUACGUAGCUCCUUCGACGAGUCGAGUUGUUUGGGAAUGCAGCUCUAAAUGGGAGGUAAAUUUCUUCUAAAGCUAAAUACCGGCCAGAGACCGAUAGCGCACAAGUAGAGUGAUCGAAAGAUGAAAAGCACUUUGGAAAGAGAGUUAAAAAGCACGUGAAAUUGUUGAAAGGGAAGCGCUUACAACCAGACUUCUGGGCGGUGUUCCGCCGGUCUUCUGACCGGUCUACUCGCCGUCCCGAGGCCAACAUCAUCUGGGACCGCUGGAUAAGACCUCAGGAAUGUAGCUUCCCUCGGGAAGUGUUAUAGCCUGUGGUGAUGCAGCGCGUCUCGGGUGAGGUCCGCGCUUCGGCAAGGAUGUUGGCGUAAUGGUUGUCAGCGGCCCGUCUUGAAACACGGACCAAGGAGUCUAACAUCUAUGCGAGUGUUCGGGUGUCAAACCCCUACGCGUAAUGAAAGUGAACGGAGGUGGGAAGGGUAACCUGCACCAUCGACCGAUCCUGAUGUCCUCGGAUGGAUUUGAGUAAGAGCAUAGCUGUUGGGACCCGAAAGAUGGUGAACUAUGCCUGAAUAGGGUGAAGCCAGAGGAAACUCUGGUGGAGGCUCGCAGCGGUUCUGACGUGCAAAUCGAUCGUCAAAUUUGGGUAUAGGG
rnacentral:rRNA from 1 species